rnacentral:rRNA from 1 species
UACGAAGGGGGCGAGCGUUGUUCGGAUUUACUGGGCGUAAAGGGCGCGCAGGCGGCUUAUUUUGUCAGGCGUGAAAGCCCCGGGCUUAACCUGGGAACUGCGUUUGAUACGGAUGGGCUAGAGUUCGGGAGAGGAGCGUGGAAUUCCCAGUGUAGAGGUGAAAUCGUAGAUAUUGGGAAGAACACCGGUGGCGAAGGCGGCGUCUGGACCGAGACUGACGCUGAGGCGCGAAAGCGUGGGGAAGCAAACAGGG